ensembl:lncRNA
GUGUCUGAUCUUUAGUUUUAUAGUUAUUAGGAGGAUUUUAUCGGCUCGCUUCGCAUGUUUCAACGACGUCAGGUUGCUAGGGACGCUGCUUUCGCUAAACUAGCAGCUCACGUGUUUCCUGCGUUUCUGUUAUUAAACUGUUACUUUAUGUAACUUUUAAUGAUAUUGUAAUAACCACAGGCGAGGUAGUGAGCGAAGUAAGCUUGAUAGCAGGUUUAUUGGAUUCCACAAUCGGACAGGCAGGCACAGCUCCACCGGAAAACUACAACAACCAAAACUCCCGCCCGGAAGGAAACCCCCGGAACCCCCUCUCAGAAGGCCCGCCUCUUCCUCCCAAACACAAUACCGGCCCCCAUGCCCAGGACUGGUGCAUAUUUCCGGAAUCCACCAGUGCUCAGAGGCCAAGCCUGGUAUUGCAGUCACUCCAAUACAAGUGGGGAGCAGGAAUGUGUCUCCGCAGAAAAUGUGUGGAUAUCAAUCAAAGGUUCAUAAUUAUCUUUAUACCGUGUACUAAAAAAAUGUAAUUUUUUCUUUUCAAAACGCCACCUCAAGCGUUUUAUUAGCCGUUAUCUCGCUGGGGAAGAGGGGUGUGCAGCUGAAAGAAGUCGUAGUGAAACAAAUGGCAUCCGAGAGGGCCUAGUUCAGUGCUCCGUUAACGUGUCAGAUUUUUGUACUGGUUCAUCUGCUGCUCAAUAACUCUCACGGUCCUCUGCUUGCGAUCAUUGUGAUUCAUCAUGUAUUGAUCCAUUUAUUCAAAAGAUCCAAAGGCAAAGAACAGGUGCAUUACGGUAUCAUUUUAUAUUGUUGUUGGACCGGUGUGGGGGGAUGUGCACGGAUACCUGGCGUCAAUUUCCGACGAAAAAUUUGUACCUUUUUCGUCGUUUUUCAACGCGGGGGUACUCGUCAAAUGUGUGACGCAUGGCCAAGGAUCCCUGGCGUCAAUUUCCGACGCAAAAGUUUUGUUGGCGAAUCAAAUACAUCAUCAGCGAUGCCCUCAAUGUAUGCGACGAUAGCCAGGAUCAUUGCGCUUCUGGACUGAACUAUUUCAUCAUGGCUCAAAAGAAGUUUAGGCCCUGCCCCUCCUGCCAAGAACCUAACCAGGUGAGCCGAAAAACCUGCAGCAGUUGUUUCGCAGCUCUCUCAAACAAGGGAAAACUAAAGGCCAAAACGGGGUCCCUGGAUAGGAAGUGGGCGGAAGGGGUCCUGAAAAAUCGAAACGCGGCAAGAGUGGUGAACUCUGCCCAUAUUGCAGUGAAAAAACUAAGUGCAUUGGGCUAUGUCCCAAUUUUAUUUUAUGCCAGAAGGGGAGAAAGCCUCUGGAAAGUGGGUGGCUGAUGUGAUGAACCAGCUGACACCCACUGAGGAUAACCUCAAAAUUUUAGCCAGUAUGAAAAAGGCAUACAAUUUUGUUUUGCUUAAAGAAGGUUGCCGGAAAUGUAGUAGGCAAAAAAUAUUUCAUUAUGACGCCGUCACAGAAAGGAGGAUGAAUGAGGGGCGAGCAGAAGUAAGGGUGAGAUGGUUACCUUGCUCUGCAUGUGGAAAAACCUGGGAGGAGACAUGGGAGCUGGCCUGCCAGUUCCCAUCCUAAGAUGCCGGCCAGACUUUUUUCAUUUAUUAUAAUUGAUUUUUGUUUAAAAUAAAGGAAAGUAUACCUAUAUUUCUGUUUACGUCUUUCCAUUAGCCUUGUGGAUUAAAGAUGAAUUAAUUAUUGCCAAAAAUGACUGAAUGAAUUUUUGGUUUUACUUUUCCAUCGUGUUUAGAAACAUCAUGUGAC